rnacentral:rRNA from 1 species
CCAAUAUGGUAGUUCUUUCAGAUAGUCGAAUGACUUGGAAAAGUCAGUCAAAGAGGGUAAAAACCCCGUAGAUGAAAUUUGGAAGGCACCUAGGAGGAUCCUGAGUACGGCGGAACACGAGGAAUUCCGUCGGAAUCCGGGAGGACCAUCUCCCAAGGCUAAAUACUCCCUAGUGACCGAUAGUGAACCAGUACCGUGAGGGAAAGGUGAAAAGCACCCCGGAAGGGGAGUGAAAUAGAACCUGAAACCGUGUGCCUACAACAAGUCAAAGCCCGUUAAUGGGUGAUGGCGUGCCUUUUGUAGAAUGAACCGGCGAGUUACGAUUGCAUGCGAGGUUAAGUUGAAGAGACGGAGCCGCAGCGAAAGCGAGUCUGAAUAGGGCGUUUGAGUAUGUAGUCGUAGACCCGAAACCAUGUGAUCUACCCAUGUCCAGGUUGAAGGUGCGGUAAAACGCACUGGAGGACCGAACCCACGUACGUUGAAAAGUGCGGGGAUGAGGUGUGGGUAGCGGAGAAAUUCCAAACGAACUUGGAGAUAGCUGGUUCUCUCCGAAAUAGCUUUAGGGCUAGCCUCGGAAUUGAGAAUGAUGGAGGUAGAGCACUGUUUGGACUAGGGGCCCAUCUCGGGUUACCGAAUUCAGAUAAACUCCGAAUGCCAUUCAUUCAUAUCCGGGAGUCAGACUGUGAGUGAUAAGAUCCAUAGUCGAAAGGGAAACAGCCCAGACCACCAGCUAAGGUCCCAAAAUAUAUGUUAAGUGGAAAAGGAUGUGGGGUUGCACAGACAACUAGGAUGUUGGCUUAGAAGCAGCCACCAUUUAAAGAGUGCGUAAUAGCUCACUAGUCGAGUGACCCUGCGCCGAAAAUGUACCGGGGCUAAACAUAUUACCGAAGCUGUGGAGUACACCUUUAGGUGUAUUGGUAGGAGA